AAUACAUGCAAGUAGAACGCUGAAGCUUGGUGCUUGCACCGAGCGGAUGAGUUGCGAACGGGUGAGUAACGCGUAGGUAACCUGCCUGGUAGCGGGGGAUAACUAUUGGAAACGAUAGCUAAUACCGCAUAACAGUAGAUGUUGCAUGACAUCUACUUGAAAGAUGCAAUUGCAUCACUACCAGAUGGACCUGCGUUGUAUUAGCUAGUUGGUGAGGUAACGGCUCACCAAGGCGACGAUACAUAGCCGACCUGAGAGGGUGAUCGGCCACACUGGGACUGAGACACGGCCCAGACUCCUACGGGAGGCAGCAGUAGGGAAUCUUCGGCAAUGGACGGAAGUCUGACCGAGCAACGCCGCGUGAGUGAAGAAGGUUUUCGGAUCGUAAAGCUCUGUUGUAAGAGAAGAACGAGUGUGAGAGUGGAAAGUUCACACUGUGACGGUAUCUUACCAGAAAGGGACGGCUAACUACGUGCCAGCAGCCGCGGUAAUACGUAGGUCCCGAGCGUUAUCCGGAUUUAUUGGGCGUAAAGCGAGCGCAGGCGGUUAGAUAAGUCUGAAGUUAAAGGCUGUGGCUUAACCAUAGUACGCUUUGGAAACUGUUUAACUUGAGUGCAAGAGGGGAGAGUGGAAUUCCAUGUGUA
rnacentral:rRNA from 1 species